rnacentral:rRNA from 1 species
UACGUAGGGUGCAAGCGUUAUCCGGAAUUACUGGGCGUAAAGAGCUCGUAGGCGGUUUGUUGCGUCGGCUGUGAAAUCCCGAGGCUCAACCUCGGGUCUGCAGUCGAUACGAGCAAACUAGAGUGUUGCAGGGGAGACUGGAAUUCCUGGUGUAGCGGUGAAAUGCGCAGAUAUCAGGAGGAACACCGGUGGCGAAGGCGGGUCUCUGGGCAACAACUGACGCUGAGGAGCGAAAGCGUGGGGAGCGAACAGG